UACAGAGGUCCCGAGCGUUGUUCGGAUUCAUUGGGCGUAAAGGGUGUGUAGGUGGCGCCGUAAGUCGGGUGUGAAAUUUCGGAGCUUAACUCCGAAACUGCAUUCGAUACUGGCGUGCUUGAGGACUGGAGAGGAGACUGGAAUUUACGGUGUAGCAGUGAAAUGCGUAGAUAUCGUAAGGAAGACCAGUGGCGAAGGCGGGUCUCUGGACAGUUCCUGACACUGAGACACGAAGGCCAGGGGAGCAAACGGG
rnacentral:rRNA from 1 species